AUAAAUAAAUGUACAUAUAUAAACCGACUUGGUGUCAGCAACCUUAUUCUCAUUCUCGGCGAAUCUGAUCACCACGCGAGCAGAGCCCGAGCAUGAUCAUAAUUCAAAGCAUUAUAGUUCUAUUUUAGAGAAUAAUAAUUUGUAUUAUUAAUUGCCCAAAUAUUGGAUAUAUCACUGCGAGUUUUGCAACUAUGUUGUGCAGCUCAACUGCGCCUUCAACAAGUGCCCCACGCCACUAGAAGAAAUGAAGGGAUUAUGGAGUUUUCAAUAAGUGAUGUGGGUAAGGAGCUGAUUGGAGUUUUUGUAAAGAGACAAGGAGAAGCUAUGUCAAUACCUCAAGAUGAUGUCAAUUAUGAGUUCCACAAUCACUAAUAUGGAUUAGUCUCAUCAUCUCCAGAAAAGAAGACGAAAAUAGUGAUGAUGAUGAUGGGGAAGACAACUAUGGUCGUCAAAAGUCGGAAUCUUGAGGCGCCUGCUUUGGAUCUCAAACACUGGCUCUCGCUUGAAGGGAUCUUGAGAUGAUGAACUUGUUGUGUUGGUGGCUUCUGCCCCUGUGAUUUCUUUUUCCUUUUUUUGGCCUGCUUGCUGCCUGUACUAUCUUUCUUGGUACUUCUUGUACCAUUUUCAGUUAUUUAAUCUUGCGUUUUUUCUGAUAAAAAAAAAACUAUGGUCAUCAAAA